GAUGAACGCUGGCGGCGUGCCUAACACAUGCAAGUCGAGCGUGAACCCUGCGAAUGAAACUUCGGUCGAUUUUGCAGGGGGAAAGCGGCGGACGGGUGAGUAACGCGUAGGUAACCUGCCCCAUACUGAGGGAUAGCCUCGGGAAACCGGGAUUAAUACCUCAUAACACCGUAUAUUCGCAUGGAUGUGCGGUCAAAGAUUUAUCGGUAUGGGAUGGGCCUGCGUCUGAUUAGCUGGUUGGUGGGGUAACGGCCUACCAAGGCGACGAUCAGUAGCCGACCUGAGAGGGUGAUCGGCCACAUUGGAACUGAGACACGGUCCAAACUCCUACGGGAGGCAGCAGUUGGGAAUCUUAGGCAAUGGACGAAAGUCUGACCUAGCGACGCCGCGUGAGGGAAGAAGGCCUUCGGGUUGUAAACCUCUGUCAUGGGGGAAAAGUAAGUGACGGUACCCCAAGAGGAAGCCCCUGCUAACUACGUG
rnacentral:rRNA from 1 species